rnacentral:lncRNA from 11 species
CAACACCCGAGGAAGUGAAAACGAAACAAGGGAAACAUCCCGGGGAGACCUUGUUGUGUGUAUAUCAUUUCCUGGUAUUGCUAUCUACACGAAGAAUUCCUUUGAACGUGUAUCAUUUCUUGGAAUUACAAACCAAAAGAAGAAUUCCUUUGAACAUAAUAACUUUAUUUUGGAGACUGAAAACCUUACUUCAAGUGAUAAAGACCAAAGACUCCACGCAACUCCAGGAAACAUAUUGACUGGAUGACACCUGCGGUGACUCACAACGGAGCAAACUUUCCCUGUGUUGGUAAGUAACCAAUGAUUUUGCUUCUGUAAAGAUAAAGGCAUGUUGUUUUCACAAUUGUGACACAGACCUUUGUGCAAGAAUGACCUAUUAACCUUGAUAGUGUUGGGCAUGUGUGUUUCACACAUUCAUUCACUGAAAUGUCAUUCUUUGGUGGAUUUAUCUCAUAGAUAAAUAGACUCCAGA